rnacentral:rRNA from 1 species
CACGUAGGCACCAAGCGUUGUCCGGAAUUAUUGGGCGUAAAGCGCACGUAGGCGGUUCGUUAUGUCGGAUGUGAAAGCCCUUGGCUUAACCGAGGAAGUGCAUCCGAAACUGGCGAGCUAGAGUACGAAAAGAGGAUCGCGGAAUUCCCCGGUGUAGAGGUGAAAUUCGUAGAUAGUCGGGAGGAACACCGGUGGCGAAGGCGGCGAUCUGGGUCGAUACUGACGCUGAGGUGCGAAAGCGUGGGGAGCAAACAGGG